ensembl:lncRNA
GUUUGAUGGUAUGAGGUGGCGUAUGAUUGUGUUUGAUGGUAUGAGGUGGCGUAUGAUUGUGUUUGAUUGUGUGAGGUGGCGUAUGAUUGUGUUUGAUGGUGUGUGGUGGUGUUUGAUGGUAUGAGGUGGCGUAUGAUUGUGUUUGAUGGUAUGAGGUGGCGUAUGAUUGUGUUUGAUGGUAUGAGGUGGCGUGUGAUUGUGUUUGACGGUAUGAGGUGGCGUAUGAUUGUGUUUGAUGGUAUGAGGUGGCGUAUGAUUGUGUUUGACGGUGUGUGGUGGCGUAUGAUUGUGUUUGAUGGUAUGAGGUGGCGUAUGAUUGUGUUUGAUGGUAUGAGGUGGCGUAUGAUUGUGUUUGAUUGUGUGAGGUGGCGUAUGAUUGUGUUUGAUGGUAUGAGGUGGCGUAUGAUUGUG